rnacentral:rRNA from 1 species
UAAAAUGAGAGUUUGAUCCUGGCUCAGGACGAACGCUGGCGGCGUGCCUAAUACAUGCAAGUCGAACGAAGU